rnacentral:rRNA from 1 species
GACGAACGCUGGCGGCGUGCUUAACACAUGCAAGUCGAACGGAAAGGCCCUGCUUUUGUGGGGUGCUCGAGUGGCGAACGGGUGAGUAACACGUGAGUAACCUGCCCUUGACUUUGGGAUAACUUCAGGAAACUGGGGCUAAUACCGGAUAGGAGCUCCGGCUGCAUGGUGGGGGUUGGAAAGUUUCGGCGGUUGGGGAUGGACUCGCGGCUUAUCAGCUUGUUGGUGGGGUAGUGUCUUACCAAGGCUUUGACGGGUAGCCGGCCUGAGAGGGUGACCGGCCACAUUGGGACUGAGAUACGGCCCAGACUCCUACGGGAGGCAGCAGUGGGGAAUAUUGCACAAUGGGCGGAAGCCUGAUGCAGCAACGCCGCGUGCGGGAUGACGGCCUUCGGGUUGUAAACCGCUUUCGCCUGUGACGAAGCGUGAGUGACGGUAAUGGGUAAAGAAGCACCGGCUAACUACGUG